rnacentral:rRNA from 1 species
UACAGAGGUGGCAAGCGUUGUUCGGAAUUACUGGGCGUAAAGGGCGCGUAGGCGGUUCGUUAAGUCCUGUGUGAAAUCCCCCGGCUCAACUGGGGAACUGCACAGGAAACUAGCGGGCUUGAGUUCGGGAGAGGGAAGCGGAAUUCCGGGUGUAGCGGUGAAAUGCGUAGAUAUCAGGAGGAACACCUGUGGUGUAGACGGCUCUCUGGACCGCAACUGACGCUGAGACACGAAAGCGUGGGUAGCAAACAGG